GUGGCUCCGCAGGUAGAGCAUAUGCCUUCCAAGCAUGAGGCUCUGGGUUUGAUCCCCAAC
rnacentral:tRNA from 1 species